GACGAACGCUGGCGGCGUGCUUAACACAUGCAAGUCGAGCGGAGCGGCGAACGGGUGCGUAACGCGUGUGUAUCUGCCCCCCUCUCUGGGAUAACAGUUGGAAACGGCUGCUAAUACCGGAUAGUGGGGGCUGACUCGCGUCCUAUCAGCUUGUUGGUGGGGUAGUGGCCUACCAGGGCGACGACGGUUAGCCGACCUGGGAGGGCGACCGGCAACAUUGGGCUGAGAUACGGCCCAGAGGCCAACGGGGGGCAGCAGGGGGGAAUAUUGCACAAUGGGGGAAACCCUGAGGCAGCGGCGCCGGGGGCGGGAUGACGGCCUUCGGGUUGUAAACCGCUUUCAGCCAUUACGCGGUAGUGGCAGAAGAAGCACCGGCUAACUACGUGCCAGCCGCCGCGGUAAUAC
rnacentral:rRNA from 1 species